AUAAACAAAUUAAUGCUAAAAAAGAAAGUUAGAAGCUUUCAUAUUUUCAAU
rnacentral:tRNA from 1 species